rnacentral:misc_RNA from 1 species
GUAGGUGAACCUGCGGAAGGAUCAUUACCGAGCGAGGGUCCCCCGGGGCCCGAACCUCCCACCCUUUGUGAACCAUACCACUGUUGCUUUGGCGGGCCCGCGGGGUCACAUCCGCCGUCGGCUCCGGCUGGCGAGCGCCCGUCAGAGUCCACCCAAACUCCGUGAAACAGUGACGUCUGAGUAAAAACAAAUAGCAAAAAACUUUCAACAACGGAUCUCUUGGUUCUG